AGGACGACAUCACUCUACCAACUAGGAUCCUCACCAGGAAUCUGGAGGACUGACUGAGAAGCUGUACAUCUGCAAGGCAAAUCCUGAGGACAACCAGGACUCUACCAUCAAGGAUUCCUCACACACCUGAGCUGAACCCCACCUGAUCCUGUUUGGUCGGGGGCAGACACACCUGAGCUGAACCCCACCUGAUCCUGACACCCUGCUGUUCCAGUCUCCUCAGUUCAUCUGAGCCUCGUCCUCCAGAAGACCUGCUGAGCUCAGCGGUCUGAGGCUGAUGGAUCAAUGACCUCCAGUGGGAGUGAUCUUCUUGACCCCACAUGUACCCGUGUGCUUCCACACGCCUUUCCCUCACGUCUGUCAUUAACCUCCCUACUUUCCUACUCACUACUCCUUCCCCUUCUUCUUCCUUCUCCGUGGUUCAAACCUUUACUCUGAAGGAGUGUCUUCUU